rnacentral:rRNA from 1 species
AGUGAACGCUGGCGGUAGGCCUAACACAUGCAAGUCGAACGGCAGCACAGUAAGAGCUUGCUCUUACGGGUGGCGAGUGGCGGACGGGUGAGGAAUACAUCGGAAUCUACUUUUUCGUGGGGGAUAACGUAGGGAAACUUACGCUAAUACCGCAUACGACCUACGGGUGAAAGCAGGGGAUCUUCGGACCUUGCGCGAUUGCAUGAGCCGAUGUCGGAUUAGCUAGUUGGCGGGGUAAAGGCCCACCAAGGCGACGAUCCGUAGCUGGUCUGAGAGGAUGAUCAGCCACACUGGAACUGAGACACGGUCCAGACUCCUACGGGAGGCAGAAGUGGGGAAUAUUGGACAAUGGGGGCAAGACUGAUCCAGCCAUACCGCGUGGGUGAAGAAGGCCUUCGGGUGGUAAAGCCCUUUUGUGGGGAAAGAAAAGCAGCAGGUUAAUACCCCGCUGUUCUGACGGUACCCAAAGAAUAAGCACCGGCUAACUUCGUG